UCUUCUCAAUGAAAACGAGCACCCUUCCCACACGUUUUUUUUUCUUAAACCAAGGCGGGUUGAAACACACUGUUCUUCCUCUCUGCACCAAACAAGAUCAGGAAAUGACUUUCCACGCCGCUCCCAUUUCCCAUUAUGAAAUGUCAGUGAUGAGCAGGCCAGCCUUUCAUCUCCCCGUGGUUACAAAACUCUCACUGGGAUGGAAUUUCUUGGCCCUGGGAAGACCGAGCCGUCGGAGGCUGGAAACCUCUUUCACUUUUGGAUCCCUGGAGCCUCACCCAGGGUGCAGCUCACAACUGUGCACACCUACUGGACAGGGUGAGAGGAGACCAGGUGUGGCUCCGCAGAGUGCUACCUUCCACAGCCUCCUGGGUUCGAACGUGAAGUCCAACCUCUCAAAAGACCUCCUGCUGCCGAGUGUACAGGAUGCUUGGACCAUGUCAUGAAGUUUGGGCUCCCAACCCCAACGGUACUCAUCCUACAACACUCAGGAGCCUAAUCUCCCCCCAAGUUCCUCUUCAGUUUGAGCUGAGGGUAGGACAUUGGAGUCUCCACUCCUGAUGCCCUGUAUGUCUUACAUGUGACCAUGCGCGUGCGCACCAGAACAAGGCACUGUAAGUGAGGACGGCAGCCAGGCACAGAAGAACCAUCUCCGACUGACCCAGUUCUCCUUUCUUACCAGUCUCCCUCAAGAGCAAUGGCAAACCACGCAGGGAGCACAGCAUCCGGAAACAGCAGAGAACUGACCAGAUGAAUCUGGGCCCUGCUCCAACCCUUCCGCCUCCUCUUUCCCAGAAGCAGGAGGAUCAUAAAUGUCUUAACCCACAGAAUAA